GCGCCUGUAGCUCAGUGGAUUAGAGCAGGAAUCUUCUAAGUUCUUGGUCGGAGGUUCAAAUCCUUCCAGGCGGGCCA
rnacentral:tRNA from 1 species